UACGUAGGGGGCUAGCGUUGUCCGGAAUCAUUGGGCGUAAAGAGCGCGUAGGCGGCCAGAUAAGUCCGGUGUGAAAGUCAAAGGCUCAACCUUUGAAUGCCGCUGGAAACUGUCUGGCUAGAGUCCGGGAGGGGCGAGUGGAAUUCCUGGUGUAGCGGUGAAAUGCGCAGAUAUCAGGAGGAACACCAAUGGCGAAGGCAGCUCGCUGGAACGGUACUGACGCUGAGGCGCGAAAGCGUGGGUAGCAAACAGG
rnacentral:rRNA from 1 species